UUCAAAGGUUCGCUUGGCAACUGCGGCGGCGGCACGUCCACGCUCCACCCCAGCAUUGUCUUGGACGGUCGUCGGUUUUGCCAGGAGCUCGCCGGAGUCGACGAGAGAGUGAUCAUCCGUCGCCGUAGACGGUACUGUUGCUGCAUUAGCACUUUGAUCGACCCCUAGGAGGGACGAUCCGGUCGUGCUAGCCCCUGCGAGGGACACCGUCCGUGUUCGCCUGCCGCCAUGUCCGGAAUGCACACCAGGUUCCAGUCUGCUGCUUGAACCUGGCCAUCUGGGAGAGCUUCUCAACAGCUUCAACCAAAUGAUCAAGCCUAGCAACGAAUUCAAUCAGUAGCGCUGCGAAAGUCGCAAGCGACAGCGUUGUGGUACUUUCAAGUGCACGCAUCCUCGGAAUCAUAUCAGAAACGUCAUUUUCAUCAUCUUCAAAAUCAUCCACCUCCUGAGAAGGCCAUGAAUGCAGCCUCCUCUGCUGCCUUUUCAUCAUCUCAUGGAUUACGAGACCUGGGCAUUUCAGCACCAGAAAACAAGAAGAGACAGAUUCUGCCAAGCUUGUGAUCUCAUGCUGCAUGGCAUCAGAUUCCUCAUGGCCUGUCCGCGUAUGGAAUGAUUUGAGUUUCCAUGGAGCGAUGCCAUCAGUGAGCCUAACGUGAACGGAUUAAUGAUGGAUCACGGAAUCUUCACUGGCCAACUGUCUAUAGACACGUCAGAUAAUGGUGUGGCAUCCUAUUCCGUCCAAAAUUAUCACCAGGAAUAAUUUGCAAUUAAUUUCUUUAAAUUUAGCGCUGCUUUACUUUUAACCAUAUGCCAUGAUUUCUGUACGUUGAAAAAGUAUCAUAUUUACCAUGACUGGUAGAUGCCCUUAUAUUUUUCUGCAACCAAAAGAAUGAUACUUGGAAUUAGGGAAUGCUGCAUGAAUAAACAAAAUGUAAAUGGA